rnacentral:rRNA from 1 species
UACGUAGGGUGCGAGCGUUAAUCGGAAUUACUGGGCGUAAAGCGUGCGCAGGCGGUUCGUUAAGUUCGUUGUGAAAUCCCCGGGCUCAACCUGGGAACUGCAUUUGUGACUGCACGGCUGGAGUGCGGCAGAGGGGGAUGGAAUUCCGCGUGUAGCAGUGAAAUGCGUAGAUAUGCGGAGGAACACCGAUGGCGAAGGCAAUCCCCUGGGCCUGCACUGACGCUCAUGCACGAAAGCGUGGGGAGCAAACAGG